UACGUAGGGGGCUAGCGUUGUCCGGAAUCAUUGGGCGUAAAGAGCGUGUAGGCGGUCCGGUAAGUCCGCUGUGAAAGUCGGGGGCUCAACCCUCGAAUGCCGGUGGAUACUGUCGGGCUAGAGUGCGGAAGAGGCGAGUGGAAUUCCUGGUGUAGCGGUGAAAUGCGCCAGAUAUCGGGGAGGAACACCAAUGGCGAAAGCAGGUACCUGGACUAUUACUGACACUCAGCUGGCGAAAGCUAGGGGAGCAAACAGG
rnacentral:rRNA from 1 species